rnacentral:rRNA from 2 species
GAUAAACGCUGGCGGCGUGCAUAACACAUGCAAGUCGAACGAUGAAACUCAUUUGAAUUCUUCGGAAUGAAAAUAAGUGGAUUAGUGGCGAACGGGUGAGUAACACGUGAGUAACCUGCCUUAGAGAUGGGGAUAGCCUUAGGAAACUGAGAAUAAUACCCAAUAACAUAAAGCCAUCGCAUGAUAGCCUUAUCAAAGAAUCUCGCUCUAAGAUGGACUUGCGUCUGAUUAGCUAGUUGGUAAGAUAAAAGCCUACCAAGGCAACGAUCAGUAGCCGGCUUGAGAGAGUGAACGGUCACAUUGGAACUGAGACACGGUCCAAACUCCUACGGGAGGCAGCAGUGGGGAAUCUUGCACAAUGGGGGAGACCCUGAUGCAGCGACGCCGCGUGAGCGAUGAAGGCUUUCGAGUCGUAAAGCUCUGUCCUAUGGGAAGAUAAUGACGGUACCAUAGAAGAAAGCCCCGGCUAAUUACGUGCCAGCCGCCGCGGUA